UGCUAGAAACCAAGAUUUCGACUCUUAAGCUGAAGGGUAAACCCUUCUCUAGCAC
rnacentral:tRNA from 1 species